rnacentral:rRNA from 1 species
AUGGCCUGGCUAAGCUGGGAGAAGAUGACCUUACCUAAGGAUAUGGGGGGCAUGGGGUUCCGGGACAUGCGCGCCUUCAACCAAGCGUUUCUUGCAAAGCAAGCUUGGAGAUUACUACAUACCCCAGACAGCCUAUGUGCUCGCCUGCUUCGGACGAAAUACUACCCCAACAGUAAUCUUUUGGACACGGUGUUCCCGUCCAGCUCUUCUACGGUUUGGAAAGGAAUCACUCAUGGCCUCGAACUGUUGAAGAAAGGCUUGAUUUGGAGAGUUGGAAAUGGCACUAUGAUCAGAACUUGGAGGGACCCGUGG